rnacentral:lncRNA from 1 species
CUGCCCUGGAACUCCUCUGGCCUUCUCUUCCCAAUUACUCUCAUUUAAGACACAGUGGCUCUCUUUUGCUCUUUGAAACACUUUCUGUGAAAGAUUGUUUUUCUAAGUAUCCCCCAGGGCAAGUUACAGGUUGAUUUAAAGGCAUAUGAUUAAGAAGAACACAGUCCAGAAGAAAGUCUAGUUAUGUGCAGUGUCGGAAGCGAAUCAGGGCAGAAGUCAUUUAAUCUGUUUGAUGACAUCAUGAUAUAAGUGGAACAAAUCAACAAGAAAUUCAUCCCUUUGUAAGACUGGUGUGAUGAAUCAUGCUCUGGAGAUAAAAAGAUUCUUGUGUACUGCUGUUCCACUUCGUCCUGUGUUGCCUAAACCAUAGCCAUCAGUAGGUCUCUCAUGCUGCAGUGUGA